rnacentral:rRNA from 1 species
UACGGAGGGGGCUAGCGUUGUUCGGAAUUACUGGGCGUAAAGCGCACGUAGGCGGCGAUCUAAGUCAGGGGUGAAAGCCCGGGGCUCAACCCCGGAACUGCCCUUGAGACUGGAUUGCUAGAAUCAUGGAGAGGUGAGUGGAAUUCCGAGUGUAGAGGUGAAAUUCGUAGAUAUUCGGAAGAACACCAGUGGCGAAGGCGGCUCACUGGACAUGUAUUGACGCUGAGGUGCGAAAGCGUGGGGAGCAAAC